AGUGAACGCUGGCGGUAGGCCUAACACAUGCAAGUCGAACGGCAGCACAGUAAGAGCUUGCUCUUACGGGUGGCGAGUGGCGGACGGGUGAGGAAUACAUCUGAAUCUACUUUUUCGUGGGGGAUAACGUAGGGAAACUUACGCUAAUACCGCAUACGACCUACGGGUGAAAGCAGGGGAUCUUCGGACCUUGCGCGAUUGAAUGAGCCGAUGUCGGAUUAGCUAGUUGGCGGGGUAAAGGCCCACCAAGGCGACGAUCCGUAGCUGGUCUGAGAGGAUGAUCAGCCACACUGGAACUGAGACACGGUCCAGACUCCUACGGGAGGCAGCAGUGGGGAAUAUUGGACAAUGGGCGCAAGCCUGAUCCAGCCAUACCGCGUGGGUGAAGAAGGCCUUCGGGUUGUAAAGCCCUUUUGUUGGGAAAGAAAAGCAGCAGGUUAAUACCCCGCUGUUCUGACGGUACCCAAAGAAUAAGCACCGGCUAACUUCGCG
rnacentral:rRNA from 1 species